rnacentral:lncRNA from 1 species
AUUUAUUUAAUAUAAACACUAUUUUAAAUUGAUUUUUUUUCUCAUUCCCAGAAGGCAGAAAAACUGAAAAAUACAGACUAUAUAUUUUAAUAAAGUUCAGGAUACAGGAAUCCAAUUUGAUCUUGAACUUCAGGAUGAAGAUUCACUGGUUUAAUGGGGAAGAAACAUCUAUCAGAGGGUCAUCUGUGCUGGACUUCCUCCUUGGAAAAUGAGAAGAGCAGGAAUUACCCCUGUGGAGCCUUC